CCUACGGGGGGCAGCAGUGAGGAAUAUUGGUCAAUGGCCGUAAGGCUGAACCAGCCAAGUCGCGUGAAGGAAGAAGGAUCUAUGGUUUGUAAACUUCUUUUAUAGGGGAAUAAAGGUAUCCACGUGUGGAUAUUUGCAUGUACCCUAUGAAUAAGCAUCGGCUAACUCCGUGCCAGCAGCCGCGGUAAUACGGAGGAUGCGAGCGUUAUCCGGAUUUAUUGGGUUUAAAGGGUGCGUAGGUUGGUUUUUAAGUCAGCGGUGAAAGUUUGUGGCUCAACCAUAAAAUUGCCGUUGAAACUGGAAGACGUGAGUGUGUUUGAGGUAGGCGGAAUGCGUGGUGUAGCGGUGAAAUGCAUAGAUAUCACACAGAACACCGAUUGCGAAGGCAUCUGACGAAUCGGAGAUUGACGCUGAUGCACGAAAGCGUGGGUAUCGAACAGGAUUAGAUACCCUUGUAGUC
rnacentral:rRNA from 1 species